ACUCAAAUGAAUAGACGGGGCCCCGCACAAGCGGCGGAGCAUGCGGAUUAAUUCGAUGCAACGCGAAGAACCUUACCUGGGUUUGACAUAUGCCGGAAAGGCCUAGAGAUAGGUCCCCCCUUGUGGUCGGUUUACAGGUGGUGCAUGGCUGUCGUCAGCUCGUGUCGUGAGAUGUUGGGUUAAGUCCCGCAACGAGCGCAACCCUCGUCCUAUGUUGCCAGCGGAUAAUGCCGGGGACUCGUAGGAUACUGCCGGGGUCAACUCGGAGGAAGGUGGGGAUGACGUCAAGUCUUCAUGCCCCUUAUGUCCAGGGCUUCACGCAUGCUACAAUGGCCGGUACAAAGGGCUGCAAUCUCGCAAGAGUGAGCGAAUCCCAAAAAGCCGGUCUCAGUUCGGAUUGGGGUCUGCAACUCGACCCCAUGAAGUCGGAGUCGCUAGUAAUCGCAGAUCAGCAACGCUGCGGUGAAUACGUUCCCGGGGCUUGCACACACCGCCCGU
rnacentral:rRNA from 1 species